GACGGUUCUUGGGUGAUGCACCCUGGGAUCAGGCUCCCUCCUCUCUAGUUCCAGUGUGUCCAGUGUGUCACCUGAGAACCGCA
rfam:Myotis lucifugus cont2.32578, whole genome shotgun sequence.